rnacentral:rRNA from 1 species
CGGAGGAUGCAAGCGUUAUCCGGAAUGAUUGGGCGUAAAGCGUCCGCAGGUGGCUAUGUAAGUCUGCUGUUAAAGGGUCUAGCUCAACUAGAUAAGAGCAGUGGAAACUACAUGGCUAGAGUGCGUUCGGGGCAGAGGGAAUUCCUGGUGUAGCGGUGAAAUGCGUAGAGAUCAGGAAGAACACCGGUGGCGAAGGCGCUCUGCUAGGCCGCAACUGACACUGAGGGACGAAAGCUAGGGGAGCGAAUGGGAUUAGAUACCCCAGUAGUCCUAGCCGUAAACGAUGGAUACUAGGCGUGGCUUGUAUCGACCCGAGCCGUGCCGUAGCUAACGCGUUAAGUAUCCCGCCUGGGGAGUACGCCGGCAACGGUG